UAAGGAAUAUUGGGCAAUGGACGCAAGUCUGACCCAGCCAUGCCGCGUGGAGGAUGAAGGCCCUCUGGGUUGUAAACUUCUUUUAUCUGGGACGAAACCCUCUUAUUCUUAAGAGAUUGACGGUACCAGAGGAAUAAGCACCGGCUAACUCCGUGCCAGCAGCCGCGGUAAUACGGAGGGUGCAAGCGUUAUCCGGAUUCACUGGGUUUAAAGGGUGCGUAGGCGGGUAAGUAAGUCAGUGGUGAAAUCUCCAAGCUUAACUUGGAAACUGCCGUUGAUACUAUUUAUCUUGAAUAUCGUGGAGGUAAGCGGAAUAUGUCAUGUAGCGGUGAAAUGCUUAGAUAUGACAUAGAACACCAAUUGCGAAGGCAGCUUACUACGCGGUCAUUGACGCUGAGGCACGAAAGCGUGGGGAGCAAACAGG
rnacentral:rRNA from 1 species